GAGAAUCAUUGCAGUCUGAUCAGAUUCCAUCUAUUCCAACAAUUUUCACUCUAGUAAUUAACCACCUUUAGGGUAAAUGCUGUCUACGUCUGCUUAAUGUAUUUCAUUUGUAGACACUUGGUCCAAUACUGCUACCUCACACUUGUUGAGAAGCAGCUUCAAACAGAACAGAACGAAUGGAAUGACCACAUGAUCCGGAAGCAAGUUGGAGCAGCUGGGCCUUUUGGAAAACCAAACAUCAUGUAUUUCACACCUACCACUGGAACACCGAAUCUGCUUUGUCCAGUGGACAGAGACCUGACACACUAUGCCGCAACACUGGUGUGUGAAGAUGGAGCAGCACUGCUGGUUGCUAAUGAAGCUUUCCGAACACUCUGCCACAGAGUUCUUGCUCGUUCUGCUCUCCACAUUGACCACAUGUGUGUAGAGCGGUCGAUGGCUGCAUAUGUGUGCCUGAAGAACUUUUUCUUAGAAAAGUUGAUUGAUCUUUCAGUUGAUCAGCCUCAAAAUUUUGAAGAGGCUUGCCUUUUUUAUAUUACCAUUUAGGAUCCUUACAAUGAAUUAAUAUUAAGGACCUAGUAAGGUGUAGGCCAAACCAUUGUUAUCAGAACCUGACCUACUGUGUUUUUGGGUCAUUUACCUGUUUUUUCACAUCUUUUGCCAGCCUUUACCUGCGCAGUAGCCAGCCUCUAUUCUUUGGAUUUAGACCUAUAGCCUGCCAGACUAUUUUGCCUGGCUGCUGUUUUUGUCUUAUUGCCUCAAAUAAAACCCUUUUAUGCUCUACGCAUGCAUCUAUA